AUUGAACGCUGGCGGCAGGCCUAACACAUGCAAGUCGAACGGUAACAGGAAGAAGCUUGCUUCUUUGCUGACGAGUGGCGGACGGGUGAGUAAUGUCUGGGAAACUGCCUGAUGGAGGGGGAUAACUACUGGAAACGGUAGCUAAUACCGCAUAACGUCGCAAGCCCAAAGAGGGGGACCUUCGGGCCUCUUGCCAUCGGAUGUGCCCAGAUGGGAUUAGCUAGUAGGUGGGGUAACGGCUCACCUAGGCGACGAUCCCUAGCUGGUCUGAGAGGAUGACCAGCCACACUGGAACUGAGACACGGUCCAGACUCCUACGGGAGGCAGCAGUGGGGAAUAUUGCACAAUGGGCGCAAGCCUGAUGCAGCCAUGCCGCGUGUAUGAAGAAGGCCUUCGGGUUGUAAAGUACUUUCAGCGGGGAGGAAGGCAGUAAAGUUAAUACCUUUGCUCAUUGACGUUACCCGCAGAAGAAGCACCGGCUAACUCCGU
rnacentral:rRNA from 1 species